AUCAUAUCAACUCCUCACUCUGGAAUGUCAUUAGGCUGGUUGGAGCUCCUAACAGUGUGUGUAUGUGCGGUGAAGGGAAAUGGUAGGAGAGGGAAACGUGACUUCACCUGCAGCACAAGUGAUUCAUGAGGUGUCACCCGUGGUGCUCAGAGCAGAGGGGAGUACUGCAUGACGGGGGAGAAGGAAGAGGAAGAUGACUUUCAAUCACACCACUCCAAACCUUUCACCUCUGAGCCCCACUGCUGGUUAUGUCAUCACCCCGUUUAUAUUCCUGUUCCUGAUUGGAUGUGCUGUAGCAGUGAUUGUAUAUGUGAGGAAAAAAAUAAGAGUGGAUGAAUUACGUCACAAGCUGAUUCCACUGUACAACUACGACCCUGCAGAGGAGUACGAAUGGAGAGAUGAUGACGUGGACGACGAUGAGGACGUGACUGAACCAUUGUACACGGAGGGAAGACUGUCCUUUUCAUCUGAUUAUGGAACGUGAAAACAAAUGUAUCAUUAAAAACGGACGAUACACACACCAUUCAUCACCACAUGUCUUAUUUCUAAAUAUAUUAAAAAUAAAAAAUAAGGCGCGGAAAGCAUUCCGUCUGGGUUCUUAAUGUGUUUGUUAACAUCAAGGUUAUUCAACACAGUAGCCAAUAGAUGGCACUGUUACUCUACUUUAAAUCUCAGUGGACACCGAUAAAAGAGGAGAAAUCGUCAUUUUUAAAACUAAGUUCAAAUAUAAAUGAUGUUUAUUGUUGAUGUUUAUGAGUAGUUUUCUCUGUCUCUGUGCUGCUACUUUGACCGUGCCCAUGUGUCAGCUGAUUAGGAGCCAAAGUCACAGCUGUUGGUGUUUGCUAAUCAGUAGCUCUGUCUUAAUUUUGAGGAUUUGCAGGCUGCUGCAGUAUGAGAUCACAAAGAAUGGACAGACGAGGUGUUCGUCACAUGGGACCACAUUGGUUCCUGACCGUCACUGUGCUGUCCACAGCUCUGGUCCUCCCAGCUGUAACCCUGGACACCCUGCUGUGUCACUUUUGUCCUCUACAGUACAAAGGCAAAACCUGUACCA